UACGGAGGGUGCGAGCGUUGUCCGGAAUCACUGGGCGUAAAGGGCGCGUAGGUGGCGCGACAAGUCAGUGGUGAAAGUUCGACGCUCAACGUCGAAUCGGCCACUGAUACUGUUGGGCUUGAGCACUGUAGAGGCUAAUGGAAUUCCGGGUGGAGCGGUGAAAUGCGUAGAGAUCCGGAGGAACACCGACGGCGCAGGCAGCGUCCUGGCCGCUUGCUGACACUGAGGCACGAAAGCUGGGGGGAGCAAACAGG
rnacentral:rRNA from 1 species